AGUGAACGCUGGCGGCGUGCUUAACACAUGCAAGUCGAACGAGAACGGGUUAUAGCUUGCUAUAAUUGUCAGUUAAGUGGCGCACGGGUGAGUAAUGUAUAGGUAAUAUGCCUCUUACUAAGGGAUAACAAAUGGAAUCGUUUGCUAAUACCUUAUACUCCUUAUUAACAGAAGUUAAUAAGGGAAAGAUUUAUUGGUAAGAGAUUAGCCUGUAUUGUAUCAGUUAGUUGGUGGGGUAAUGGCUUACCAAGACUAUGACACAUAACUGGUUUGAGAGGAUGAUCAGUCACACUGGAACUGAGACACGGUCCAGACUCCUACGGGGGGCAGCAGUGGGGAAUAUUGCACAAUGGACGAAAGUCUGAUGCAGCAACGCCGCGUGGAGGAUGACACAUUUCGGUGCGUAAACUCCUUUUAUAUGAGAAGAUAAUGACGGUAUUAUAUGAAUAAGCACCGGCUAACUCCGUGCCAGCCGCCGCGGUAA
rnacentral:rRNA from 1 species